AAACUGAUUUGGUAAUGCUUUAUAAAAAGGUUAAUAUAACAUAUGAAGACUCAACCUACCAGUCUGCAAAAUAUGAUCGGGGAAGAUUCAAAUCCUUAUAUAUAUUCAUAAAACCAUGUGAACAAGCCGACACAUCUGAUGAGAUAUUUGGAUAUAGUAUGACGCCAAACCUGUUGGAUUAAUAUUUAUUCAAAAAUAAACGCAUACUCUAAAUUCAAUUCAAUUUCACCUGAAAAGGAUUGAAGUACAUGCAAGC